UCGUCGGUGGUGCAACGGUUCAGUACACGCUCCAGGGAAGUGUGAGUUCUGGGUUCUAAUCCCGGCUGACGCA